UAUCUAUUUACAUUACUUGCAUGCGUGCUAGUUUACAAGUUUAAUAUGUCUUUUCUUUUUAACCUUGUUGUAGUGGGUGCCUGUAGUAAUGUCACUGCUAAAUUUGUUCUUUUUUUCGCUUUUACAUGAUAUUUCCAGGUAAGCCUUAUAUCUAUGUGUAACCCCAGGUAUUUCACAUGAUCACUAACAGGUAUGGCUGUAUUAAAAAUUUUGAUUGAAGGACAAUCACCAUUUCUUAGGGCAAAAGUAACAUGGACAGAUUUAUCUGAAUUGACUUUAAUGUUCCACAUCUUGAGCCAGUCUUCUAGUUGGAAUAAGUAAUCAUAGACAACUUGAUACGAGACUCUUUGGUUCGAGAGAGAGCUGUCAAAACUCGCAUUUUUUAUAACAUUUGCCAAUGAUGCCAUUGCUGAAAAAUAUUAGAGUGGGUAUAUAAUAAAUUAUACAAAACACUAAAUUAAACACUUUGAAAAUGCAUACAUAUAUAAAUGCUAAAAUGCAAAAUCAUUAAUUAAUUUACAUAAACAUUUAUUUUGCCAAAAUAUGUUCGCACAGUUCAAUGAAAUUUCAUUUCACACUAAUUUCGUCAAGUAAUUAUAGCGCUGCUCUUCUGGCAUCCCGCCUUUUUGACUAACUGCUGAUUGGCGGCACCCUGAUUGUGUUUUGUUGCCAGCUCAAAAAACAGAUCAGGGUGCAAUGCCAGCUGACAAGCGAGAAAGCAAGAAAAGAGAUUCUGAUCAAGUUAUCUAUUUAGGACUGCAGUGUCAUCAGCGAAUAUUGCUAUCGUAACCACGGUAGAGGAGGAGUAGAGAAAGUAUCAGCUGAUGUUAUGUAAACAAAGGCACAGCUGAGAGGUGCCACUGUAGAAACGUCGAGUGUACUCCGGGGUUGAGUUUCUAUUGGAAUCCAAGAUGGUCGACUUUUAACCAAGAUGGCCGACUUUUUUACCGGAAAAUGGUUGCAUUGUGUUAUUUUCUUAAAUUUUAUGGAAAAGUUGUCCCAAAAAUAUUGGUUAUAUAUAAAACUUUAAUAUAUUUUCAAAAGAAAUUUGUUUUAUUUUAAUAUAUAUUCUCAAAGAUGAGAACAAUAUGAGCAAAUACAUGAAAAAUUGAGUUUUUUAUUUAUGCCUCUUUUUAACUGUGGUAAAUCAAUAAAUGUUCACCACAGAAAAAUGUUACGAACAAAUAAGCAACCAUGCCGAAUAGUGGGGUCUAGAUUAUGCUCAUUCACAGCCAUAUUUACAUUUUUGCCAUCGUAACGAAGGUUUUUGCAAGACAAUUUGUUUUACUUUAUUUCAUGGUUAAAUCCUUUACUAUGGUUUAUUUAGUUAUUUUAAUCUAUAAAAAGUGUUUACAAUUUUCAUGGGACGAUAAACAUCAGAUCGGCUGCGAUUUUAUUCCAAUAAAAGUACGAAAUAACCAAACAUGGCCACGUUAAUAUUGCUGCGUAAUGGGUCUGGUGCUGUUACAAUUUUAUGAUUUAAGAGAUAGUCAAAUGUAGUUAUCAAAUUAGUUGGCCGUGAAUUCGAGACAAAAUUUUAAAUUCAAUGGCGUUCUCGUGUAAGAGAUCGCAUGGCACAAUUCCGAUUACUUUGGCGCCGCGAUCUGAAGGUACCGUUGGAAAGAGGAAGUCCUCCUGAUUAAAAAAUAUAUAGGGUUAUAGGGUCCGCAAACGCUUAGUUUACGAGAUAUUCGACCUUAAAGUCCGAAAAAUCGCAAAAUUGGACCAUUUCAAGACGCUAUUUCACCACAUUAAACGCACUUUUUUCACAUUUUUCACUUCAAAUUAAUUAAUUUACACUAUUAACUUUUAAAUAAAACCACAUUUUACACAUUUAACAGGUUUUUUACCUAAAAAAUCUUUAUUUUAAAAAUUACAUUUUACACUUGUUUGAACCUCAUUUGUUUACCAAAAAUUACGACGAAAUGGAGCGCUGCCAUGUGAUGAUAAGGCAAUUCGUGAAAUUCCUCUUUUUUCGCAAAAAUUCCUCUAUUCAUGCAUAUGGAUAUUUUCUUGUAUAAAUUUAUUAAGCAAAUAAGCAAUAUUAUAUACGGUAAAUGUUCAGCAGAGCGGCUUUUCCGAAAACGUGCACCAAUUUUCACGGGAAUUGUCUUAAAAAAUUCGUUUUUAAUUCCGAUUCACGAAUAUGUAUGGCGCGUUAUUUAAUUUUAUGUUAUUAAUUGGAAAAAUAAAAAGAAAUUAAAAUAUCGAUAUUCUCAAUAUUCGAGUCAGAAAGAAAAUUUGUAAAAAUGAGAAAUACAUAUUAUAAAAAUAAUAAUAAUUGGAAAAAUAAAAAGAAAUAAAAAUAUCGAUAUUCGCAAUAUACGAGUCUGAUCGUGAAUUGGCAAAAAUGAGAAAUACAUAGUAGGAAAAUUUAUAAUUAAUUAUUAUUGCAGAAAGAAGAAGAAUUUGGACACAGAAGAAUUUUGAACACCGGGGUUUUGGACCGACCAGGGAUAUUAUUUUUCGAGCGCUCGAAAUUGCGAAUAUCGAUAUAAAAACGCUGUGAAACGCUAAAAAAUUCUUCACUUUUGGUUUUUAAGGUGUGGCAACGCUGGUUUUCCUCGUAAAUAUAAACACUCUAAACUUUUCAGCCAUAAAUUUUAUAUGUGAUUUUAAAUUACUAAAUUUGGCUGAAAAAUUAAGAAAUGAAAGUGAAAAUCGAACUGAUUUCAAUGUUAAGAGUGUAUAUUUAAUUAUAGUGAAAGAAAAACGUGAAAAAUUCUGUGAAACAUGGAGAAAUAACAUGUGUUCUUAGUGCGAAUUUUUGAUUUUUUAAACGUGAAUAUUUUUAAAAAUAUUAGCUAUUUUCACAUGAUUUUUGGAUAUUCCACCUCUAUAGAAGCCCCCCUAUCCGUACAUACCCCAUUUAUACGGAAAUUCGGUUUUUUUACCCCGCCGCCAAAGUAAUCGGAAUCGUGCCGAUCGCAUUGCUAGAAUCAGCAAAGGAGCUGGUGUAGAACGCUAGUCCCAAACCAAUGAGCUUUGUGCUUGAGGGUGGAAGCAACUUUUUGAAGAGCAAAUACUACGGUGAGCACAUUCGGAUGUUGCAUAACCUGUUGUAAAUUGCGCUUAGAAUCCCGGUACUGCUGGUCAGGUUUAUCAGGCUGUUGGGUCAAAGCGUUACAAGUUGAGCGAAUUAAUUGACUGGUUUCAUCGUGUUAUGCGCAAAGAUGAAAAAUGGUGGGGAUACCGUCAUUGAGACAUGUGUUGUGAUCCUACCUUCUUAUUGAAAGCCAACUUCACGAAUGUAUUACCGAUGUCGUUCCCUCCAACAUACCGUGGUUGAAGAAUUUUGGUGUACAAUCAAUGGAAGAGCAAGUACCAUGAGAAUUAUGACCAUAUCGUGCUGCGCAAUAUUAUGAUGCCGAAUUGGAGAGUGGGGGGAACCAGCUCCACCAAAACCGAUAGAACAUCGGGAUGAACUACGCAAAUAAUAAACAACACUCAUCAAAUGAAAGUUGGCAGCGUUGGUGACUAAGCAGCAAUUUGAAAAAGAAACAUUUGCAUCUACGCGAAUUACAAUUCGUCUUUACAUCUAGUGAAUUAUGGUCGAUUAUGAAUGGUGUGGAAGUUGAUAUUUAAACUUUAAAAAACAAAUAAAUGUAAUUUGGCUAAUAUUGAUAUUUAAACUUUAAAAAACAAAUAAAUGUAAUUUGGCUAAUAAUGAGCCGCUAUUAAAAGUUAAGGAAUUUGAGUUGUAUUUUUAAUUGGGCCAAACAAGUUAUUAUCGAUUUGAAUAACUUCAAAAGGAAUAUAUUUCGAACAAUCAUUUAUUUUUUUAAAUACUAUGGCGGUAUCGCUACUGAGCAUGGCAAAAUAGUGUUGCGUGAGCUAAUUUAAACUACUUUUUACUACUAUAUAGAUAUUGCAAAUUCAAAAAAUAAUUUCUUUAAAAUUCCUUUUUAUUUAAAAACUUAGCUUAGAACUAAAAAAUAGUGUGGUAAAUCUGUUGGGAUAAUCAAACACUCCAUUUGGGAAUGAGUAGGAUUCCUGAUCGCCGGCGUAUAGCUAAAUUCUGACAUUUAAAACGUGUACGUAGUUUGUGAUUACAAAAAUUUAUAAUUAAAAUAUAGAAAACAUGGCUAUUAUAAUUAUCUCUUGAUUUAUCUUACAAUAAAAAAUGUGUUUUACUGUUCAGACGAAUUGUUAUGCAUUUUCGCUUUCUGCAACCCGUUUUAACCUCUCGCCACCCUUAUUCACCAGAGGUGGCCAUGAUGUUGUUAUUGUAAAAGUACACUUGAGGGGUAGCUUAAGUACUGUGAAUGGCUCUUUUUCUAUGGUGAAUGGGACUUUCCCUACUCCUCUAUACCAUGAUCGUAACAUCGUUG